rnacentral:rRNA from 1 species
UACGUAGGGUGCAAGCGUUAAUCGGAAUUACUGGGCGUAAAGCGUGCGCAGGCGGUUUUGUAAGACAGAGGUGAAAUCCCCGGGCUCAACCUGGGAACUGCCUUUGUAACUGCAAGGCUAGAGUACAGCAGAGGGGGAUGGAAUUCCGCGUGUAGCGGUGAAAUGCGUAGAUAUGAGGAGGAACACCGAUGGCGAAGGCAGCCCCCUGGGCCUGUACUGACGCUGAUGCACGAAAGCGUGGGGAGCAAACAGG